UCUUGCCUCAGCCUCCCAGAGUGCUAAAAUUACAGUGCCAUUACUCUCCAGGAUUUGGUUGUGGGAGUAAAGUGAGAGGAAAUUCACCAGCUGGCUAACUGUUCAACAAAGCUGCAGAUGGGGCAUCGCUAGUGUGCUGAGGCCAUACUACAACCAAGUUGAGAUGUCGGAUUCUGGGAAGCUGAAUCCAAGAGGGACCUUCUGGAGCCAUCUCUGGCCCCUGCUGUGAAGGAAGAGCUGAGAUAACUUUCACCAAAAAUUUGUGUCUUAGAAACAGAAGUAUGUUGUCUAUUUUAACACAGAUAAGAGCCUUUAA